rnacentral:lncRNA from 1 species
UUCACUUGGGAAAACCAAUCCAANAAUGAAAUCAUUGCAACCUUACUACAAAACUUGACAGACGUGUUUAGGAGAGGAGAUGGGUACAGCUUUAUAUAAAUCUACAGGCAGGCAAACUAAAUAGCCAAACUUGAGAAGUUCUCGAGCCCAAUUCUUAAUAAUUUCAAACCAUCAUCAAUGAAACCAGAAGCAAAGGCACAUACAGGUAUUAAUGAAUAAUAUCCGGAACUUCCAACUAAGAGAGUUCUAUAGAAUUUUUACCAGACGAAACAUGCGAAGAAAGCACUUUGGUGAUGGCUGCGUGAACUGUGCUGCUUUGCUUUCAACCCAAAAAGUGCUUUCUAGAUAACCAUCAACGGUUCUGGAAACUUAUUCUAUCCCAAUUACAAAACAAUGUAGGCAGCAUUUCAAAAGUUGAUUCAAAGAGUAAGUAUACACUCUGCAUUCGACAAUCUUGUCUCUCUCUCCUGCUGUAGGGCAUAGUAUUGUUAAACACCAGAGAAUAUCAAUCCGCAGGAUACAAGGAAGGAUGAAAGAAAUGCUGAUUCUAAAAAACCAUGAAUAAAGAUAGCGCCGUUCACAAGGCAAUCAAAUACUGCCAAAACAUAUUAUAAAUGUGGAACAUCCUGUUCACACAAAAAACCCGAGGAUAUCAGUUUGAGCAGAAUAAGAUAACACUAACAAGUUAUUAUGCCAAAGCAUCAAGAGUUUAACUGCUCUUUCUCCCUCCAAGGCUAUCCCAUUUUAUGUCCAUGUCUCCUCAAGAGCUCAAGUCGUUAGAGCGAAAACUUACCAAGCUAAUGACCUGGGUUUGAGCCUCCCUUUGGGGAAGGGGUGAAAUCCUUUGAUUCCUCUUUGAGAAAAAGAGAGAGAAAAAAAAAAUUAAACCAGGUAUAUAACAGAAAUAUACAUAUUUACACAGUUUGCAAUAACAAAAAGGGCAUGUAACUCCACAGCAAUGUCAAUAAACAACACAAGAUAGAAUCAAAGCUGGAUUAAAAUUCCCCUAAUUGAUAUUACUCCCUACCAUGGCAGGAAAUCUAAAGCUCAAACAACGAAUAUAAAUCUGAUAUCUUGAACAAGAUGCUUAUAUUAUAAGUGAUAGUGGAUCCAAAUGCUAUUAAGGCGUCACCAGGAGGAAAAGAAAAUCAAGUACAAUCAAUUCCAGAAGAUUUCGAAUCUCCUCAUUAGAAUUUACAAUCAAAAUGGCUAAAGGCUACAAACACACACUGUCAAAAGAUAUCAUAGAUAAAACUUCUAAGCAAGAUGCAGAUGAUAGUUUUUUUUUUUUACCAUUUACUUCAAAUGAUAUGCAGCUUAGUUAAGGACCCAUUUAGCCAACACCAAAUUUAUUAGGAACAAGGCUUAGUUUGUUAUUGUAGUAUUCAAUUUAUGUACAAUCAUGACAGGACAAGCAAUACUUAUACGUGCUAAUAUAUCAUGGUUUUGAAUGUCUUCUACCUCAUAAAUUUGGUAAGGAAUGAUAAUAUCUGUUGAGAGGUGUAUUUGAAAAGCUUAAGCCUAGAAAGUCUCAUUGAACUUUCAAAUUUGUGUUUAAAGGACAAAUAUGGAAGAUUUAUUGAAUGCUACCCGAUUUUGAGGCAGUUUACUGUGAGUAUCUUUCAGAUUUACGUCUCUCUAAAUGAACCUAUACGUGAGUCAUGUAUGUAAUAGCUCAAGCUCAGAUCAUCCCAUUUUAUGUCCAUGUCUCCUCAAUAGCUCAAGUUGUUAGAGCAAAAACUUACCAAGCUAAUGACCUGGGUUUGAGCCUCCCUUUGAGGAAGGGGUGAAAUCCUUUGAUUCCUCUUUGAGAAAAAAAGAGAGAAAAAAAUUAAACCAGGUAUAUAACAGAAAUUUACAUAUUUACACAGUUUGCAAUAACAAAAAGGGCAUGCUACUCCACAGCAAUGCCAAUAAACAACACAAGAUAGAAUCAAAGCAAUAAACAACACAAGAUAGAAUCAAAGCUGGAUUAAAAUUCCCGUAAUUGAUAUUACUCCCUACCAUGGCAGGCAAUCUAAAGCUCAAACAACGAAUAUAAAUCUGAUAUCUUGAACAAGAUGCUUAUAUUAUAAGUGAUAGUGGAUCCAAAUGCUAUUAAGGCAUCACCAGGAGGAAAAGAAAAUCAAGUACAAUCAAUUCCAGAAGAUUUCAAAUCUCCUCAUUAGAGUUUACUAUCAAAAUGGCUAAAGGCUGCAAAAACACUGUCAAAAGAUAUUAUAGAUAAAACUUAUAAGCAAGAUGCAGAUGAUAGUUUUUUUUUUUUACCAUUUACUUCAAAUGAUAUGCAGCUUAGUUAAGGACCAAUUUAGCCAACACCAAAUUUACUAGGAACAAGGCUUAGUUUGUUAUUGUAGUAUUCAAUUUAUGUACAAUCAUGACAGGACAAGCAAUACUUAUACGUGCUAAUAUAUCAUGGUUUUGAAUGUCUUCUACCUCAUAAAUGAAUACAAGUAUGCUGAUGAUCUGAGCUCGAGCUUUUACAUACAUGACUCACAUAUAGGUUAAUUUAGAGAGACGNAAAUCUGAAAGAUAUUCACAGUAAGCUGCCUCAAAUCGGGUAGCAUUCAAGAAAUCUUCCAUAUUUGUCCUUUAAACACAAAUUUGAAAGUUCAACGAGACUUUCUAGGCUUAAGCUUUUCAAAUACACCUCUCAACAGAUAUUAUCAUUCCUUACCAAAUUUCAAUUUAAAAUUAAAUAUUUAUCUGAUGUAACAGAAGAUUUCCAUCAUUUCAAGUUAGCUAGUAUUUAAUGAAUCAAAAUUUUCAUGCUUUGACGGAUGAACCAAAUUAAGAGAAAUAAUUAUAAAUAAUAGUUUGAAAAUGCUAAUUUUUGUUUCUUAACCAAUGUCAACAUAAAAGAAUAAAAUAUGAUAGAAAGCUCAUCAAUUGCUACAUUACAUUUUAUUACAUGUUCACAAGGAUUUUACUCAUAGGGCUGUUAACAAGAGGGGGAGGCCAUUCCAAUGGAAUUAUCACCGUCUCCUCUCUCACAUACCCAUUGCUUCAGAAAAUGCUGUAUAUUUGCUAGUUACAAAUAUGAAAAAUUUAUUUAGUCUAAAUAUUAAGCACACCUCUAGACUAUGUUUGAAGACACCAUUGAAUAUUACAUGCACAUUAAUUAAUAUUUUAGCUGGAAGUGCUCCUCAAUCGAAAAUUAAAAAAGAAAGGUAUAAAAAACCUCCUUCUUCAAAGGCAUGUAUUGGUAGGUUCAAAUUUGAAAACUGUAUCAUAAGAGCCGGAAAGAGGUACAAGUAAAUUACCAUUAUUAGAAAUAGUAGCUUCCACCAUUUUCCCAGUAUAUUCCAAUCCACAAAUGGUAUGAGUACUUAAACUAAACCAAUGUGCAAUUUCAUUCUCCUUUGGGUCACCAUUCCAUUUAGGUUUUUAGUUGAGAAUGCCCAAAGUCAGGUUCUAUAGUGUACGUAACCGAGGUAUGCCAAGAAGGCAACAGAAGCUUCUCCCCUUCACCAUUUCAAUAUUCAAAAGUUUCUGACAUAUGUUUGAAAAUGUAUUUAUGUAAUACCUAAAGUGGCUCACUCCCAAGGAGAGUGCAAAUUUAUUUUAUUUGUUUUUAGUUUCCACGGUCAAUCCGCUACAAAUAACUUUGACCCCAGACUCCCCUUCAUUCAACAUUUAUUUUUAUUUUUUUGGCUACUUAUCGGCAUCUCAGUUCUACAGUUUCUAAUUAACAAAAUAGUUUCAUCUAUGAUUUCAGAUAAUUUGCUCUUAGAACUUCCAUAGGUACUAUAAAUUGUAGAGUGAAAAUUUUUACAUUCUUGGAAGUUCCAAUAUAACACUAAGGUAUAGUGAGGCUGUCCUACAUGAGAAGAUAUGGAAAUCUAGUGAAUCUCAUCUUCACCUUUAGUCCACCAUAUUUACAUAUUGAUUUGACAAACUAUCUAGCGCUCAGCUUGAAAAUUAGAUUUACUAUGAAAGAAAAAUUAAGAGUUGUUGUCAACAUCAGAAUUUCAUGGUUAAGCUGUGAAUAUUUGGGUGCUCAUGGCUUUUGAUAACCAGUUAUUGAAUAUGUUUCAUCCAUUCUUACAGAUCAAUAAUUCUUCAGGCCCAGUCCCUAAGAAAAAUUAGAAAAAACUCUUUCUUGAUGUCCUAAGCAGUUAAGGAAAUACUAAGCCUUUGGACUUUAAAUUUGAACUUCCAAAUUAUUCCAGAUCGACUUUUGUUUAAUUCUGGCACAAGUAGAUCAACCUCUGUACUCCUAUUACAAGUCUAGUUUGUCCUAAUGUUGAAGAACCAAGGAUUUAUUCUUUAUUUACCAAGGCAUGGGUCAAAAAAGUUUUAGUAACCUAGGUAUGUGCAGGAGCUACCUCCUUCCAUUAGAAUCAAUGCUUGUACUAGUCUAACAAUGCUUCAAAUCAACAUAGGCUCAAUGUUAAAAAGAUUAGACACUUCUCCUGAGAGUAAGUAAUGACAAGUGAAAUUAUGGUCAUUCCCCUCUGAUCUUCCUUCCCCUCAUAUUAUAGCUAAUUUUAAGAUGUAAACCUUGGCUUUGGUCUUGUGGGUGGGCACUCUUCAAGAAAUGUUUAUCAAUAACUCGAAAGCCUCAUCAAGAAGUAAACAGAAAGAACAAAUCAUUUCUAUGAUCCAAAGGUGGGUAUGGAACAAUGAACAGAGCGCAGUAGCAUCAUAGGCCAGGCAUGAUAAACUGAAUACAUUUUUCUAAAACAUAAAACACAUUUUGAGAACGAGGGCUACUAUUUGGCAGACUUAUUAAAAGAAAAAGUGUCCCCAUACUGAGUUGAAUGGCCUUCUGCACGGCAAUUAGAACUUUCUUAAAUAAGUCUCUCUGAAUUUUAAAACAUUCAACCGAGACUGUAACUAACUGAUCUGUGACCUGUAAGCUAGACAAACAAAAUUGACAACUCUUUCUUGGGUCAGGCAAAUAUUCGUUGUUCAUCAGAGGAAAUGCCAUAAAAGAAUUGAAGAGAAAAUGAAUAUAAAACUGAAAAACAAAAGGAUAAUACCACUCAAAUAAUUGUCGAAAAAACAAAUGCCAAUUUCCAUUGCGGACAAUUAUCACCUCUAUUGAUAGCAUAGAAACACAGCUCAAUAAAGAUUAUUUAAACUCUCUCUGUGCAUCAUAAUGACAUUAAAACAUGUACAAAUGGUAGAAUGAGAUUAUUCAUAGAUAAAUAAAAUCAAUUAGGAUACCUUCAAUUUAAACAUAUUUAGAAUAUGGAAUUAUAUGCUAUUAUUGCAAAUUUGAAAUAGCAUCACUACAUGACGAGCAGAUAGGGUAAUGUACUACUUAAUACAUUAUAUGAUUAAAUAAGAAGUUUUCUUUAAUGACUGUACUAUGAAUGCAAAAUCAGCAACAAUAAAUAUAGAAGCAUCUGUAAGCAACAAUAUGGGAUACCAGAGCAACAUGAAAGAUGGUGAACAAAAAUAGAGCAUAAUGAGAAGCAAUAAUCACAGUGCAUAACAGAAUAAUCAAGUUCAAUAUUAAAAGCAGAUAACAUGGUCAAAAGGGAGACAUUAGAAGUAUAUUCAGAAGUUCCAAAUUGAACACUCCACAGAUUACAGCCGAUGAAACUGCUGAAAGACUGACAGUGAUGUGAAUGGCUUCAAGCUCAAUGCACAGAAUAUACAACCCACUUCUGACAGUGCCAAAGGACGAACGAU